UACGGAGGAUGCGAGCGUUAUCCGGAUUUAUUGGGUUUAAAGGGUGCGUAGGCGGGAUGCCAAGUCAGCGGUAAAAAUGCGGUGCUCAACGCCGUCGAGCCGUUGAAACUGGCGUUCUUGAGUGGGCGAGAAGUAUGCGGAAUGCGUGGUGUAGCGGUGAAAUGCAUAGAUAUCACGCAGAACUCCGAUUGCGAAGGCAGCAUGCCGGCUUCCUACUGACGCUGAAGCACGAAAGCGUGGGGAUCGAACAGG
rnacentral:rRNA from 1 species